rnacentral:rRNA from 1 species
ACGGCUCAGUAACACGUCGGUAACCUACCCUCGGGAGGGGGAUAACCCCGGGAAACUGGGGCUAAUUCCCCAUAGGCCUGAGGUACUGGAAGGUCCUCAGGCCGAAAGGGACUUAUGUCCGCCCGAGGAUGGGCCGGCGGCCGAUUAGGUAGUUGGUGGGGUAAUGGCCCACCAAGCCGAAGAUCGGUACGGGCUGUGAGAGCAGGAGCCCGGAGAUGGACACUGAGACACGGGUCCAGGCCCUACGGGGCGCAGCAGGCGCGAAACCUCCGCAAUGCGGGAAACCGCGACGGGGGGACCCCGAGUGCCGUGGCAACGCCACGGCUUUUCCGGAGUGUAAAAAGCUCCGGGAAUAAGGGCUGGGCAAGGCCGGUGGCAGCCGCCGCGGUAGUACCGGCGGCCCGAGUGGUGGCCGCUAUUAUUGGGCCUAAAGCGUCCGUAGCCGGGCCCGUAAGUCCCUGGCGAAAUCCCACGGCUCAACCGUGGGGCUUGCUGGGGAUACUGCGGGUCUUGGGACCGGGAGAGGCGGGGGGUACCCCUGGGGUAGGGGUGAAAUCCUAUAAUCCCAGGGGGACCGCCAGUGGCGAAGGCGCCCCGCUGGAACGGGUCCGACGGUGAGGGACGAAGGCCAGGGGAGCAAACCGGAUUAGAUACCCGGGUAGUCCUGGCUGUAAAGGAUGCGGGCUAGGUGUCGGGUGAGCCUCGAGCUCGCCCGGUGCCGUAGGGAAGCCGUUAAGCCCGCCGCCUGGGGAGUACGGCCGCAAGGCUGAAACUUAAAGGAAUUGGCGGGGGAG